rnacentral:lncRNA from 1 species
ACAACCUUUUUUGAAUUAGGCGCGUGGGAGAAACCGGAGCACCCGGAGAAAACCCACGACUUGCGGCAGGGUGUGGGAUGACUCACAUAAAUGGGCAACGAGAGAAUCGAACCCACGAUCUCAUAGGUGAAAGGCGCUACGUCAUCGGUAUCGAAGCCCCUGUAUUUAUAUAAAUAUUCGAUUUGAUGGUGAUAAAAUAUGGUGAUAUAGUGUACACCAACAUGAAAUAAUGUCCUUGGGGAAAAAUAAAUAACAAAUCAUAUAUUGGUAAAUAAUAAAAAAAAGUGAAUGAAAAAUUGACCAUAUCAUCAAAAUACAGAGGUGUGUGACUAAUAUCAUUGUAACAAUUAAAAUCAUUCACGCCUACAUUUUAUCAAUCAGACCGGAUGUUUAGCA